GAUGAACGCUGGCGGCGUGCCUAAUACAUGCAAGUCGAGCGAACCACUUCGGUGGUGAGCGGCGAACGGGUGAGUAACACGUAGGUGAUCUGCCCAUCAGACGGGGACAACGAUUGGAAACGAUCGCUAAUACCGGAUAGGACGAAAGUUUAAAGGUGCUUCUGGCACCGCUGAUGGAUGAGCCUGCGGCGCAUUAGCUAGUUGGUAGGGUAAAGCCUACCAAGGCGACGAUGCGUAGCCGACCUGAGAGGGUGAACGGCCACACUGGGACUGAGACACGGCCCAGACUCCUACGGGAGGCAGCAGUAGGGAAUCUUCGGCAAUAGGCGAAAGCCUGACCGAGCAACGCCGCGUGAAUGAUG
rnacentral:rRNA from 1 species